UUUGACAUGAUUUGUUAUUGAAAUAUCCAUGCUGUUACAUAUCCCCUUAUUAUCUUCUAGGUGUUUGCAAACUGACAGCUUAACUAUUUGCUCCAUUAUCUUCAAGGUGUGUACCUGUCGGACAAUCAGGGGAGCUACUUCAUUCCUAUGGAUUCCAAAUCAGAAUUCAACAUAUAUAUUUUAGACUAACACACUCUAUAUAUUGUUUAAUGGAAAACACCUGUGAACUAAUUAAGUGUCAUGUGUUAACUUGAAACCAUGGGCAGAGACGUUAUGUAACCUUUUGACCAUUGGCUACUGUGCAUCACCUCUUGGCCUCACUCACUCCAGAACUCAACACCUGGAAACACCUUAGGAACAAGAACUGAACGGGGAAUGUGGUCCCAGGCUGGAGAGAUGUCUAGCCUGUGUAUGGAAGAUUUCUGGACGGUUUGUUCCAUCAGGGUAACAUACUCCUUGUAUGGAGCGUAGAUUGUAAUUUUGUUUAUUUCUUAGUAACUAACUUUGAUCUGUCUAUCUUUCUGUGUAGUUAAUAAAUCCUUUUUUUUUUUU